GUGCUCGUUUUGGCAGCGCAUACACUAAUGAUGCAGAGAAGAUUAGCGUGGCCCCUGAGUAAGGAUGGCACACAAAUUCAUGAAGCGUUCCGUGUUUUA
rnacentral:snRNA from 1 species